AAGAAAAGCAGCAUACUUGAAGAUUUGCAUUCAUCCACUCUUCUCUUCCAUGUCUACAUGAAAAUGGGAUUGCAUCAGAGAUGUUGAUUGGGUGUCGAUGGCUGGCUAUUAUGCUCUCGAGAGAUCUCCAUGGGAGGCUGGUUGUGAUGCAAGCUGUGACAUCAAAUGGUGGAAUUCUCUCAGCAUUUAGCCCCAGGAGCCGGA